rnacentral:misc_RNA from 1 species
GCAAGAGAUCAUAACAAAUUGAUAUCAGAUUCGGUUGUCAUGGACGACACAGAUCCAAAAGAAGAAUUGAGGGCGCUAUUCCAAGAAGUACAUGCAUUAACUAAAGCAAGAGUAGCGCAAGCUGAAUCAAGGAUGGAAGAUCGGAUCAAGCAACUAUGAAGGCAGCAACAAUAGAAUUGAUGGAAAAAUAGAGCGAGACUCAAGGCAGGGGUAGUACCAAGGUAUACAAAGUUGGAUUUUCCAAUGUUUGAUGGAUUCGAAGAUCCGUUGAUUUGGUUACACUGAUGUAAACAAUUUUUUUCAAACUAACGAACGUCAGAAACAAAUAAGGUGAACCUCGUAGUAUUCCAUAUGACAAGGAGGCACAACUCUGGUUCUAUAGAUUAGAACAAGAAUCCCGACUAUCACGGAAUGCAUUCAAAGAAUAUUGCAAUUUA